GCCCUUCUGCCAUGAGAGGAUGCAGCAAGAAGACACAGCUGUCUGUGAACCAGGAAGCAGGACCUCACCUGACACCAUAUCUUCCGACACCUUGAUCUUGGACUUCCCAACCUCCAGAACUGUGGGAACUCUCCAUCCAGCCCCAUACAACAAAGAAGAGGAAUUUAAGGUCCAACCAAAACUGGAAAAGGAGAGGGAAAACUCUCACACUGAUGUGUGGGGGAUGGAUUGAAGCACCGCCCCCCACCCAUCAGAUCACAUGGCUUAAAUAAGGACUGGCCCACCCUCCCCUUGCGCAUUAAGUGCGUGGCUCCUCUCUGCUAAUGGCAACGAGAACAGCCAGUUUUACUCCUGUGGGAGUUAGGAGGCAUGCAAACUGACCGAACACCUUCCAACAAGGGCGGUGAUUCACACUUACUGAAGGCUCACUUGCUAUCUUGUUUGGAUUUCCCUGUUCACGCUACUCCAAGGAGAAGACAUGGGAAUCACCAUCGACAUUUUAUGGCCAAAGAACCCCAGGCAACCGGCCAGCCCUCAAGGUCUCCCAGGAAGGGAGGCGGUCUUUGACCCAGACCCAGUGUCGCCUCCAUCAUGCCUCCUUGACCUUGAAACCAUGCCUCCUUGAUCUUGAAGGCUCCUCCAGAAAAAGGAACACUGGCUCCAAGGCAUAAUCAAAGGAGAUGUGCAGCAUUCCUAAGCACAGUCAGACAUUUCCUGGGAGUACAGGAGCUUCAGCUUGAUCAUUAGUUGUCACAACUUCACUGGCCUCCAUCAGCAGAGCUAGCCAUGCCUCUGACUUUGAAAACAAAGGAUGCAGAAAAGCAGAGAUGCCUCCCACUUAUAAAAGAGAGAGGGAGAGUUCACCUCUCCUCCAGCCCUGGCUUCCCCACGUGUGCUAACCCUCACUGCACUGCUUCACUUUACAUUCCACUAUUAACCAACAGAGGCCAAGACUUGAAGGCAAGAUAUUGACUUAAGUGUGAAUUUCUGCCUGCUCCCAAGUCCCCACAAUGCAGAGAGAAUAACCUGCUUCUGGGAAGUCUCCUGGGGGCCACACUCCCCUGCUGAAGGGGAACUGCUAGAGGUCAGGGCUAUGUA
ensembl:lncRNA